AUUCGAUAGUUCUCUCAGAGAGCUUCUCUGUAAAACAUGGCAGCUUCUCUUUAUACAUUGAUUCUACUCUUCUUCUCGUGUUUACAUGCUCUUCAUCAAGCAAAGUCUCAACCGUUCAUCGGAGUAAACUACGGCCAAGUCGCCGACAAUCUUCCGCCACCUUCAGCAACAGCAAAGCUUCUUCAGUCCACAACUAUCCAAAAAGUCCGACUCUACGGAUCCGACCCGGCUACAAUCAAGGCCCUAGCCAACACAGGGAUUGAGAUCGUCAUCGGAACAAACGACGUACCCGGUUUAGCAUCAGACCCGAAUUUGGCCGGGAGCUGGGUCGAAACAAACGUAGUUCCUUAUUACCCGGCGAGCAAGAUCAUUCUUAUCGCCGUGGGAAACGAAGUCACAACCUUUGGCGACCGUAAUCUCAUGUCGCAGCUCUUACCGGCUAUGCGAAAUGUCCAAAGUGCCCUCGAGGCGGCGUCUCUUGGUGGCGGAAAAAUCAAGGUCUCUACAGUACAUGUUAUGUCGGUUCUGGGCCAGUCUGACCCUCCUUCUGCCGGAGUUUUUGCACCGGACCAUGCUGAUAUAUUGAAGGGUUUGCUAGAGUUCAACAGGGAGACCGGGUCGCCUUUUGCGGUUAACCCGUACCCGUUUUUUGCUUACCAGAGUGACCCGAGACCGGAUACGUUGGCGUAUUGCUUGUUUGAGCCUAAUCCUGGCCGUGUCGACUCCAACAGCAAGAUCAAAUAUAUGAACAUGUUCGAUGCUCAGGUUGAUGCGGUGUAUUCAGCUUUGAGUAAAAUGGGGUUUAAGGACGUAGAGAUAGUGGUGGCUGAGACUGGGUGGCCAUACAAAGGAGACCCAACCGAGGCUGGUGCGACCAUUGAGAACGCUAGAGCUUACAAUAAAAAUCUCAUCGGUCAUUUGAAAUCUAUGGCCGGGACACCACUAAUGCCUGGAAAGGUUAUCGACACAUACUUGUUCGCAUUGUACGACGAGAAUCUCAAGCCCGGGAAAGGGUCUGAAAGAGCUUUCGGCUUGUUCAAACCUGAUCUAACCAUGACUUAUGAUAUCGGGCUCACGAAGACUGCUAACCAAUUUGGAGAUUUCCAUGUGCUCCACGGUAUUACGAUGAUGAGUUGAAGCUCUUAUUGGAGAUUCUUUCUUGGCAGCCCAAAUCGUACUCUUGUCCACAUCAUCCACAUAAGUAUCUUCUUUUGUGUUGUCUUCCUGGGCAACGUGGACUUCAUGAGAGGAUAUUAAGCCACUUUGAUUAAAAUCUAUCAAAAGACACUUCCAUGGCUCCACAGUCGCCAACGCCACGGUUCCCACCAUCGGCAGCACCGACGAGUCAAACUCUACUGGCUCCGCCACAGACGAUCCUCCCUUCGCCUACUUCUCCCUCUGACAAAAAUUCAGGACAAACGGAUGUUCACAAUUCUACUCCGCGUACUGCUUCUGUGGCUCACUUAUGUUGUUCUCUUUCAAUUUCGACAAUGAUGUUGUUCGUCUCUAUUUUGUAUGCACUUAUCAUAUAAUUGGUUGAGUCUUUUCAUCGA